rnacentral:rRNA from 1 species
CAGAGCCACGGGAAUACGAAGGGGGCUAGCGUUGCUCGGAAUGACUGGGCGUAAAGGGCGCGUAGGCGGCAUGUACAGUCAGACGUGAAAUUCCUGGGCUUAACCUGGGGGCUGCGUUUGAUACGUGCAGGCUAGAGUGGGGAAGAGGGUUGUGGAAUUCCCAGUGUAGAGGUGAAAUUCGUAGAUAUUGGGAAGAACACCGGUGGCGAAGGCGGCAACCUGCUCCUUGACUGACGCUGAGGCGCGAAAGCGUGGGGAGCAAACAGGAUUAGAUACCCGUGUAGUCCCUGUCUCUUAUACA